AUUGAACGCUGGCGGCAGGCCUAACACAUGCAAGUCGAGCGGAUGAAGGGAGCUUGCUCCUGGAUUCAGCGGCGGACGGGUGAGUAAUGCCUAGGAAUCUGCCUGGUAGUGGGGGAUAACGUCCGGAAACGGGCGCUAAUACCGCAUACGUCCUGAGGGAGAAAGUGGGGGAUCUUCGGACCUCACGCUAUCAGAUGAGCCUAGGUCGGAUUAGCUAGUUGGUGGGGUAAAGGCCUACCAAGGCGACGAUCCGUAACUGGUCUGAGAGGAUGAUCAGUCACAUUGGAACUGAGACACGGUCCAGACUCCUACGGGAGGCAGCAGUGGGGAAUAUUGGACAAUGGGCGAAAGCCUGAUCCAGCCAUGCCGCGUGUGUGAAGAAGGUCUUCGGAUUGUAAAGCACUUUAAGUUGGGAGGAAGGGCAGUAAGUUAAUACCUUGCUGUUUUGACGUUACCAACAGAAUAAGCACCGGCUAACUUCGU
rnacentral:rRNA from 1 species